CGUGUAGGCGGCCGGAUGUGUCAGAUGUGAAAGCCCUGGGCUUAACCCAGGAAGUGCAUUUGAAACUGUCCGGCUUGAGUAGGGGAGAGGGAAGUGGAAUUCCUGGUGUAGAGGUGAAAUUCGUAGAUAUCAGGAGGAACACCGGUGGCGAAGGCGACUUCCUGGCCCUAUACUGACGCUGAGACGCGAAAGCGUGGGUAGCAAACA
rnacentral:rRNA from 1 species